rnacentral:rRNA from 1 species
GCUUACGGCCACACCGGCCUGAGUACGCCUGAUCUUGUCCGAUCUCGGAAGCUAAGCAGUGUCGGGCCUGGUUAGUACUUGGAUGGGAGACCACCUGGGAAUACCAGGUGCUGUAAGCU